rnacentral:rRNA from 1 species
ACGGAACGCUGGCGGCGCGUCUUAAGCAUGCAAGUCGAGCGGUAAGCUGUAGCAAUACAGCCUAGAGCGGCGGACUGGUGAGUAACACGUGGGUGACCUACCCUUAGGAUGGGGAUAGCCACUAGAAAUAGUGGGUAAUACCGAAUGUGGUUACCGGGCUGUGGCCUGGUAAAGAAAGGAGCUAUGGCUCCGCCUGAGGAUGGGCCCGCGUCCCAUUAGCUAGUUGGUGAGGUAACGGCCCACCAAGGCGAUGAUGGGUAGCCGGCCUGAGAGGGUGAACGGCCACACUGGGACUGAGAUACGGCCCAGACUCCUACGGGAGGCAGCAGCUAAGAAUAUUCCGCAAUGGACGAAAGUCUGACGGAGCGACGCCGCGUGGAUGACGAAGGCCGAAAGGUUGUAAAAUCCUUUUGUCGAUGAAGAAUAAGCAUGGGAGGGAAUGCCCGUGUG